UACGGAGGGUGCAAGCGUUAUCCGGAAUCAUUGGGUUUAAAGGGUCCGCAGGCGGUUCUAUAAGUCAGUGGUGAAAUCUCUCGGCUCAACCGAGAAACUGCCAUUGAUACUGUAGGACUUGAAUUCGGUCGAAGUGGGCGGAAUAUGACAUGUAGCGGUGAAAUGCUUAGGUAUGUCAUAGAACACCGAUAGCGAAGGCAGCUCACUAGGCCUGGAUUGACGCUCAGGGACGAAAGCGUGGGGAGCAAACAGG
rnacentral:rRNA from 1 species